GCCGCGUGAGGGAUGAAGGCCUUCGGGUUGUAAACCUCUUUUAGCAGGGAAGAAGCGAAAGUGACGGUACCUGCARAAAAAGCACCGGCUAACUACGUGCCAGCASCCGCGGUAAUACGUAGGGUGCAAGCGUUGUCCGGAAUUAUUGGGCGUAAAGAGCUCGUAGGCGGUUUGUCGCGUCUGCUGUGAAAAUCCGAGGCUCAACCUCGGACCUGCAGUGGGUACGGGCAAGCUAGAGUGCGGKAGGGGAGAUGGGAAUUCSUGGUGUAGCGGUGGAAUGCGCAGAUAUCARGAGGAACACCAAUGGCGAAGGCACAUCUCUGGGCCGUAACUGACGCUGAGGARCGAAAGCGUGGGGAGCAAACARGAUUASAUACCCUGGUAGUCCACGCCGUAAACGGUGGGUGCUAGUUAUGGGCUCCAUUCCACGGAGUCUGUGACGAARUUAACACAUUAAGCACCCCGCCUGGGGAGUACGGUCGCAAGACUAAAA
rnacentral:rRNA from 1 species